UACAGAGGUCUCAAGCGUUGUUCGGAAUCACUGGGCGUAAAGGGUGCGUAGGUGGCGUGGUAAGUCAGAUGUGAAAGCCCGGGGCUCAACCUCGGAACUGCAUCCGAUACUACCAUGCUAGAGUACUGAAGAGGUGACUAGAAUUCUCGGUGUAGCAGUGAAAUGCGUAGAUAUCGAGAGGAAUACCAAAGGCGAAGGCAGGUCACUGGGCAGUUACUGACACUGAGGCACGAAGGCUAGGGGAGCAAACGGGAUUAGAAACCCCUGUAGUCC
rnacentral:rRNA from 1 species